GUUCAAGCCCAGGGUCAGUGCAAGGAGGGACUGAACCCUCGGACACAGAAUGGCCUGUYUGGAUGUCAUUCAGAACCCAUGCCCUCUUUGCCAGGAGCUAUGCUGGGACCACCAGAUGACAGGAGCAUGGUGUGCUCCAUGGGCCUUGGGGACGAGUGGGAGUGGAAGGACAGGACUGGCCAGAUAAUGGCGGUGCCGUAGGAGCAGGGAUGGACCUCUGCUAUCCUUGCUGUCUCAAGAAACCAGCGACAAGCUUCCUGAACAACCCUGCGGGGCCUGGACAUGACCCUGGUGGACAAUCGUGGCCAUCAACUUUGCCCUGGAAUCUGGGCAAAGAGGCUUGGGGACGAAUGCUCUGAGAGCAGGGGCAGACCAGACGGGUCCCAGACGGCCUGCAGGGUGAGUCCCGGUCACACAGGGAAGAGGCAGGGGAGCUCAGGGCCAGCCUUAACCAUAGGAUGGACACUCAUGGCCUUUUCUCCCUCAGAGGAAGAGGGAGGGGUCCACGGGGGUGGCCAUGGGAGGCUCUGGACAAACAGUGUCAGGAGGAGUCCCUCACCCUCAUCCUCCACCUCUCCUCAAGUUUGACACACGCUGUCCAUCCAGCUGUCCACCUGUCCUUCCCUCCUCUCCUCCUUCCUGCCUCUGCCAGCCCGCCACUCACCUGGUCACCCAUGCCCUGGUUAUGAUGGACAGGAGCUGACCAUGCACCUGGAGGACAUGCCACUUGGCCACCUCCUGUAGCUCAAGGGGCUCAGGCAGCCUCGGGAGGGCUCCCCUGCCAUCCUGAGCCCCCUGCUGUGGCCUCACCUGCCCUGGGGCUACGAAGGCCACCAGGCAGCCCUCGAGAAGGAACCCGGGGAUCCUCUCCCCUCUGCCUUGCUGGGACCUCUCCACGCCCUCCCCCUCCCCUAGGCUACAGUAUGACCCCGCUGCCCACCACCUUGUCCAAGGAUGACCUGCCAGCUCCACCCUUCUUGGAGGCAGCCCCACCAAUGGGUGGCCCUCUGAACGGAGGCUGCUUCAAGUCCCCACGGUCAGAGCCUUGUCUCAGGGCAUUUGCAGCUCAGACCCAACCUCCGUGGGCUCUGGCUCUCAGGUGGCACCAGCAGACUCUCCGGGGCUCUGUGGGGAGGCCUGAUGGGGCCCGUCCCACUCAGCUCACAUCAGCCUUGGAGCUGGAGUAGGCAGCAGCCUCGGGAUCCUGACAGCCGGAAGCUGCCGCCUAGGGCUGGGGCAGCGCUGCCCUCAGCACCCCACCACUUCCAGGUGCAGCUGGCUCCCAACUGAGCCCCAUUUCCGACUCCUUCAACACCAGACCCAGCUUCCCACAGCCAGYGUCCCGGACAGGGUGCACAUCAUGGAGGAUAAAAAGAAAUCUUUUCAAAAGUGGUCCCCAGGGUGGGGGAUGGGGGUCCAAGGGAAGGGAUCCCGGGACAAUAGUGAAUGGAGCUGGGAUUAUUUCCUGAACUCUGACUCCUCGUGGGAACGGGGUUAUGAAAAGCUUUUCUCAAAAUGGUCAUUAUUGAGGGGGCCGUCCAAAAUAAACACACGCACGCACACACGGCACCGGCAGGAAGUGGGAGACAUCUGGGAGACAUCUGGCUGCGGAGCCGGGAAGCGGGUCGGGGAGGGCAGAGGGAGCUGGGGACGUCUGCAUGCUGUGGUCACCCACAGUCACCCACGGCCAUGCCAGCACGCCCCCGCCCGCCAGCCCCGCUGGAGACACGCAUGCCCACAUGCCCACGAACCGUGGGAACCCUCGGGAAUCCGCAGGACGCGCACUCUGGGAAGCGGACAUCCUGGCUCUCAGCACCCUCCCUCCUCCCUCUUUGGGCUGCUGUGGUCCUUCUGACUCGCCUCCACCUCCAGGAAUACACAGGCCAAGUGCUUCCCCACCACCUGUCCCUGGUCACCUCGAGGAGCCGCCGGGGAAGCGCAGGGAGGCCCAGCAGGGCUGGGGCAGACCUGGGCAAGUCUCCAGGCAACCCCAGGCCUCAGUUUCCCCCUCUGCCUGGCUCCCAGGGGAGGGAACACUAGAGAACGUCCACCCAGCUGACAUCUGCCAGCCUCCGCCAUGCUGGCCYGUGGGGCUAGGUGCCGGCUGGCGGUUUGGGGGUCAUGACCAAAUGCCAGCACUCAGGUUUCAGGUGUUAUGACACCCGAGUGGUCCUGGGGUAGGGAGCCACCCUCUCCCAGCAGGGGCUCCUCCAUGCUGCAGGUAUGGGCCUGUCACCAUCCUAUGGAGACCAGAGCUCAGAGGCUCUUGCUGAUUGGGGGUCCUUUACUGUUUCCGUGCGACAAUGUGAUGUGCAGAGGGUUCCUCCAAAGACACCUGGAUGGCAGAGACCUUGUUUUGUGCAAUUACAAGUCCCCAAAAAUUAUGCAGCCCAGUACUGGACCUGACAGCAUAAGUAAAGGGUCGAUAGGGCCAUGUGGGUUUGUAAGAGAACAGACUCCGCAGACAGAUUCUUUGGUGUAGAUCCUGGUGCUGCGACCCACUAGCUGUGUGAGCUUAGGCAAGUUGCUUUACCUCUCUGGGCCUCGGUGUCCCCAAUUAUAAAAUGAGAAGAACAAUGCUGAGUUCCAAGGGUUAAUUAAGUUAAGUUAAUGACAUGUCAACUCCCUCACACAGUGUCUGGUGCUUGGUUAGCAUUUAAUAAAUAGAAUAAGCUGCAGAUUUUAAAAGUAGUCCCCAUCCUGUGGCCUUAGGUGGUCACCACUGCUGUGUCACUUCCCUCCACACUGCACCAGGCAGCAUGGGACAGACAGACUGGGCUUUCAGGCCACAAGUCCAGGUGGGAUGGCCUGGGAGGAGGGGGCGUAGUCCUGGCUAAGGGCUGCUCUGUCCCAGGCACUUGCUGGCUGGCAUCUCCCCAGAGGCUCUGAGAGCUGUGCUGUCCAGCCCAGGGCCACCAGCCUCGCGUGGCAGCUGAAGCCUUAAUUAAAAUAAAAAAACCUCUGUCCCUUCAAUGCACUAACCACAUUCACAGGGUGCAGCGUGGCAGUGGCUACCAUGGGGACAGCGUGGCCAUGUCCAGAAGCCCCUGGACACUGCUGCUCCUGAGUGUGGUUUGAUGGCCUCAGUGCACAGGGGAGGACACGGAG